CCCUUAGAUGUUCGGGGCCGCACGCGCGCUACAAUGAGUCGAUCAACGUGCGUAUAUUUCCAAGGCCGAAAGGUCGAGGUAAUCCGUUGAACCCGACUCGUGCUAGGGAUAGGGACUUGUAAUUGUUUCCCUUGAACGAGGAAUUCCCGGUAAGCGCAAGUCAUCAGCUUGCGUUGAUUACGUCCCUGCCCUUUGUACACACCGCCCGUCGCUACUACCGAUUGAAGAGUUAGGUGAAUUGUUUUGAUCGAUAAGAUUUGACUAUGGUCAACUCUCGUUGUGAAAUUCUGUGAAUCUGACUGUCUAGAGGAAGGAAAAGUCGUAACA
rnacentral:rRNA from 1 species